UGGAAGGAGAGAAACACAGCACAAAAAAACAGACCGCACCCAGCCUCCACACAACCACCGUUAAUAUGACAGCCACGAGGCUGGUGUGGACCGAGACAACUUUUCUCUUCAACUUGUUGCCUUAGGACAUCUUUUCUUCAGAGCAGUUCAGCUUUUCUACUUCCGUUUCAACAAUCUGCUUCGACCUGCAAAGAAUCAUGGCAUAGGGUGGGCAACAAAGGAUACACCGGACCCAUCCUUCAAAACUGGGGAACAAAAGGACACAUUUAUCAGCCACAUUUGGAGGAACCUUCAAAUUUGGACAGCCUUUAUCACAUCGCUGUGAUGUAAUUGGCCUACAAAUGCAGCCUUAGAAAGAUGCAGCCCUUGAAUUUGGACUUGACAUACUCUGAUCUGAAGAAGUACAAGAACAGAUGAGAAACAAAGCCAUUUACAUCUACCAGUCAGGAAAGGUUUAUAAACUAUUAGUAAGACUCUUUUACUCUAUUGUAUCAUAGUAAGACCCGUUAUCAACAAAUACGGAAAAUAUGGAACAGCAUUGACCUUCCCAGGAGUGGUUGGCCAACCAAAAUUACUUAAAGAGUACAUGAACAAUUCAUUGGAGAAGUCAGAACACAAACCAGAACAAAAUAACAUCAAAGGCACUGCAGGACUAAUUUCACUGCAGGUAAUUUCACUUUCCCAGGGCUUUACUUUAUGGGAAAAUGGUCCUGGUCUAGAGUAGGUCUUUUUAGCUUUUCCAAGGAUUGUUCAAGGGGCGGGGUUGUGUUCAGUGAGGCUUGGCACCAGCAGCUGCAGUAUCGGCAGAGACUUUACAGGGCAGCGGAGUUCCGCGUGGUCUGGCUGCUCCACUAACCCCCAUCCUGAUCUCGGCUCAGUACUCUGGGAUUUCCCGCUACCUUUUAUCUGUCUGUUGCAGCUGAAUGUGAAUAUAAAGUGUUUAGUAGGUAUGUGGUGAAUAACUGCAAGUACCAGAAUAUAAAACAGAAUAUUUUUCACCAGAAAUGUGACAUUUUAAGUUAUCAUUGGUUUUAAUUUUAAACUGUUUCGCCACAGUUCUGUGAGACAAAUAUUUUAAUGUAGUGCUGAUGUUAAGAACAUUGAAAAUUUUCCAUUUAAUAAAAAAAUACACAUUUCCCUA